rnacentral:rRNA from 1 species
GAACGCUGGCGGCGUGGAUAAGACAUGCAAGUCGAACGGAGAUCUUGAAUAGCUUGCUAAUUAAGAUCUUAGUGGCGGACGGGUUAGUAACACGUGAGAACCUACCCUUUAGACAGGAAUAGCCCAUGGAAACGUGGAUUAAUGCCUGAUAGUCUCUACGGAGUAAAUGGUGCCUUCGGGUAUCGCUAGAGGAUGGGCUCGCGGCCUAUCAGCUUGUUGGUGAGGUAAAGGCUCACCAAGGCGACGACGGGUAGCUGGUCUGAGAGGACGAUCAGCAACACUGGAACUGAGACACGGUCCAGACACCUACGGGUGGCAGCAGUCGAGAAUCAUUCACAAUGGAGGCAACUCUGAUGGUGCAACGCCGCGUGGAGGAUGACGGUCCUAGGAUUGUAAACUCCUGUCAUUGGGGAGUAAGACUUAAGCGUUAAGAGCGUUUAAGUUUGAUAGUACCCAAAGAGGAAGGGACGGCUAACUUC